CCAAUAGCGUAUAUUAAAGUUGUUGCAGUUAAAAAGCUCGUAGUUGAAUUUCGGGAUUUGUCCAUUGGUCGGGCCUCACGGUCCGUACUGGUGUGAUGGGUUCCUACCUUCUGAAUAACCAGCAUGCCAUUUAGUUGGUGCGCCGGGGAAGCAGAGCUAUUACCUUGAAAAAAUUAGAGUGCUUAAAGCAGGCUAUUGCUUGAAUAGAUUAGCAUGGAAUAAUAAAAUAGGACGGCAUGGUUCUAUUUUGUUGGUUUCUAGGAUCACCGUAAUGAUUAAUAGUGAUAGUUGGGGGCAUUAGUAUUCAAUUGUCAGAGGUGAAAUUCUUGGAUUUAUUGAAGACUAACUUCUGCGAAAGCAUUUGCCAAGGAUGUUUUCAUUAAUCAAGAACGAAAGUUAGGGGAUCGAAGACGAUCAGAUACCGUCGUAGUCUUAACCAUAAACUAUGCCGACUAGGGAUCGGACGAUGUUAAUUCUUUAAUGACUCGUUCGGCGCCUUACG
rnacentral:rRNA from 1 species